GAUGAACGCUGGCGGCGUGCCUAACACAUGCAAGUCGAACGAACAGACGAUGAGCUUGUUCCUUUGACGUUAGCGGCGGACGGGUGAGUAACACGUGGAUCACCUACCUAUAAUUCUGGGAUAAUUUCGGGAAACCGGAUCUAAUACCGGAUAAUAUAUUGAACCGCAUGGUUCAAUAGUGAAUGACGGCUUUGCUGUCACUUAUAGCUGGUUCCGCGCUGCAUUAGCUAGUUGGUAAGGUAACGGCUUACCAAGGCGACGAUGCGUAGCCGACCUGAGAGGGUGAUCGGCCACACUGGAACUGAGACACGGUCCAGACUCCUACGGGAGGCAGCAGUAGGGAAUCUUCGGCAAUGGGCGAAAGCCUGACGAAGCAAGGCCGCGUGAGUGAUGAAGGUCUUCGGAUCGUAAAACUCUGUUAUUGGGGAAGAACAGAUGUGUAAGUAACUAUGGACGUCUUGACGGUACCUAAUCAGAAAGCAACGGCUAACUACGUG
rnacentral:rRNA from 1 species